UUAAUGCAGUAAAGAAUGAACAUUGUUUCAUUACUUGAAUACAUACAUACGAAAGAUUAGAAAUUAAGAUUUGUUUAUAUUUAUCUGUGUAAAAUACAAAAAUCCUAAUUUUGCAAUUUUUAGAUUCCCUGUACCAGGUGAUUGCGGGAGAUUGAUCACCUGCGUGGACGGUCAUCCGCGACUUCUCACCUGCGGAGAUGGAAAACUAUUCGACUCAGUGAGCCUGACUUGCCUGGAUCCAGAUGAUGUUCCUCACUGUACUAACGGUGUUUAAGAAUAGAGGCACAUUCCUGACAAUCACCUGAUAUCCUAAAUCGGCAAACAACGAAAAAAGACAACAAACCAUCAAACAAUGAAAAACUAAUACAUUUGAUGACAAACAAAAAAUUAAAAA